UACGUAGGAGGCAAGCGUUGUCCGGAUUUACUGGGCGUAAAGGGUGUGUAGGCGGUCCGUUAAGUCUCGUGUGAAAUCUCCCGGCCCAACUGGGAGGGGUCACGGGAAACUGGCGGACUUGAGGACGGUAGAGGAAAGCGGAAUUCCCGGAGUAGUGGUGAAAUGCGUAGAUACCGGGAGGUACACCAGUGGCGAAAGCGGCUUUCUGGGCCGUCCCUGACGCUGAUGCACGAAAGCUUGGGGAGCGAACCGG
rnacentral:misc_RNA from 1 species